CUUACAAGCUGUGGAAGCACAUUUCUUGUGUGACCGCGUACUUUUUGUAGAACGGGCCAACGAGUUACGUUAAGUAGCAAGGUUAAGCACUUAAGGUGCGGAGCCGUAGCGAAAGCGAGUUUUAACUGAGCGUUCAGUUAUUUGACGUAGACCCGAAACCGGGCGACCUACCCAUGAGCAGGAUGAAGCGAAAGUAAAAUUUCGUGGAGGUCCGAACCCACGAGCGUUGAAAAGCUCGGGG
rnacentral:rRNA from 1 species